UUUGCCUGCAGAGAUUUCCCAGU
rnacentral:miRNA from 1 species